GAUGAACGCUGGCGGCGUGCCUAAUACAUGCAAGUCGAGCGAACAGACGAGGAGCUUGCUCCUCUGACGUUAGCGGCGGACGGGUGAGUAACACGUGGAUAACCUACCUAUAAGACUGGGAUAACUUCGGGAAACCGGAGCUAAUACCGGAUAAUAUAUUGAACCGCAUGGUUCAAUAGUGAAAGACGGUUUUGCUGUCACUUAUAGAUGGAUCCGCGCCGCAUUAGCUAGUUGGUAAGGUAACGGCUUACCAAGGCAACGAUGCGUAGCCGACCUGAGAGGGUGAUCGGCCACACUGGAACUGAGACACGGUCCAGACUCCUACGGGAGGCAGCAGUAGGGAAUCUUCCGCAAUGGGCGAAAGCCUGACGGAGCAACGCCGCGUGAGUGAUGAAGGUCUUCGGAUCGUAAAGCUCUGUUAUUGGGGAAGAACAGAUGUGUAAGUAACUAUGCACGUCUUGACGGUACCUAAUCAGAAAGCCACGGCUAACUACGUG
rnacentral:rRNA from 1 species